UUGAGUUUGCAGUUGAGUGCGCCAGGGCAACACGGCUGUAUUAUAUAACUUUAAUGUAGGCUACUCACGGGUUUAAUGGCGCAAGAGCAGAAUAUCGCGCCGCAGAUCUGUGGAUUCAUUGCGGAAUUAUCCUGAACUCGAGUGCAAGUGAGCGAUUGAUCACUUUUUCCCUCCUACUGGCGACGCGCGUUAAAAGUUAUCGACAGAUCGGCGGCACGUCGCACUCGGUGGAUCCCGUCAGCUUCAGACAGGUCGGCGUCGUUCUUGACUAUAGUUAAAAAAGAGUUGCUAUUGCAGACGAUGUUUUCCUUCCGUGCGAGGAGAGGGGUGACAACGAAUCCAUUUGACAUUUCACCACGCAACAUUACAGCAAGGAAGGUGUUUUAUUCGAGUGUGUGACUCUGGGGACAUUGCGUUAUUUCUCACAUUUUUUCCAAGUUGGACUGACAGGAGAUGAGCUAACCGGCGGAACACAUCGUUCUUUCACUACAGGAUAAAGAAAUGGAUCAGGGUGGACUGAAGCGCAACGGUAAUCAAGACGACAGCCUGACAUUUGGGGAGACAAGAUCCGGAGUAGGCAGGGAAACGGGUGACACAGCUGGUUUACUGCUCCAGUCUGCAGGGCACCUGCUCGGUCCCAGGUCUAUGCCCCAGCCCACAGUGGCCCCGAAUGGACAUGGUGUAACCAAAGACCAAGGGAAACUUGGAGGCCUCUUUGAUUCUCCUCAGCAUCACAUCCAAUGUGAGGGUUCAGACAUGAAGGAGGGUAAGAUCACCAGAAUGCAGAAACAACACCAGGAUAGCGGUGUAUUUAACAUUGAGGACGACCUGCCGUUGUUGAAACAGAAUAUUUCCAAUCUCAACAGUCCGGCCUCCUCUGUCAUCAACACCUCAGUCUCCUCCAUCCUGGGGAAUCUCCCUCUGCCUGAUCUUUUUCCCCAACACAUCAAGCAGGAGGGACGUUUUUCUAUGGAUAAAGACUUGGAAAAUUACAGCUGUAACACGGGUGUAAGGCUGUGUGAUUUAGAUGAGAAAGGCAGUUGCCUAAUGGAGGAUACUGAAAUGUGGCAAGACCUGGACCUUCCUAAUUCUCUGCCAGAAAUUAGCGAUUUUGAGUUGGAUUCAGAAGUGGCACACUUGGAUAACAUCCUACAUGACAGCAGGGGUGGAGGCGGUCCUGUAAGCGGCUUGCUAAAAGAAACAAAGCCUCUGGUGGGUAACGGAGUAAACUGCAACAAUGUGAACGGCACGGACCAGCAGCACCAGCCCAUCCACCAUCAGCAGCAGCAGCAGCAGCAGCAGCAGCAGCAGCAGCAGCAGCACCACCUUCUACAGCACCAGCUCCAUCACCAGCAGCAGCCUGCAUCUCUGCUCUCCAGCGUUAUGAUCAAGGAGGAGAAGGAUCCUGACGACUCUUUCAUUCACAUCCGUACUCCUGGUGUUGUGAAACAGGAGAAGCAGGAGAAUACAGGGUUCUGCCAAUCGCAGUGUCUGCAGAGCAGCAUGAGCUCUCUCCAUGGAGGAAGCUCCAUGUCUUCCCCUAUGGGCGUCGGUGCUGGAGCUUCGUACCUAUACAGAGCCAACCCAUCCUCCACAGUGGGCCUACAAGACCAGGAGCCUUUUGGCAUGUACCCAAACCUGCCUCUGGUGGGGGAGACCUGGGUCAGGGGGAACCGGUUCGGAGAGUCGUCCGGGUUGCAGAUGGGCGACGACGGACUCCCCUCCGCUGCAGCCUUGGCAAGUUUUUCUGUCAACUUCUCAAGGCCUGCCUGAUGUUUGAUCUUCUUCUGGUCUAAUUUUUUUUAAAGCUCUACCUGACAUGAUGAGAGCAUCUUCACAUGAUGACUGCUUUGUAGGUUUUUGUUUCGAACUCUGGGUAGUAUUUGACUGAGGUAGCAAUGCCAUGAAGCAAAAUUGGCUGGCUGUAUCAGAUCAUAAAGUGUUACAGCAUUUGUAUAUAUGUGUUA